GGCUCUGCACCUCAGUGGUAGAACAUCUGCUUUGCAUGCAAAAGGCUGCAAGUUCAAUCUCUGCCAUUUCUUGGUAGGGCUA